rnacentral:misc_RNA from 1 species
GAAAUGCGAUACGUAAUGUGAAUUGCAAAUUCAGUGAAUCAUCGAGUCUUUGAACGCACAUUGCGCCCCCUGGUAUUCCGGGGGGCAUGCCUGUCCGAGUGUCAUUUCUGCCCUCAAGCACGGCGUGUGUGUUGGGCCCCGUCCUCCGAUCCCGGGGGACGGGCCCGAAAGGCAGCGGCGGCACCGCGUCCGGUCCUCGAGCGUAUGGGGCUUUGUCACCCGCUCUGUAGGCCCGGCCGGCGCUUGCCGAUCAACCCAAAUUUUUAUCCAGGUUGACCUCGGAUCAGGUAGGGAUACCCGCUGAACUUAAGC